rnacentral:lncRNA from 1 species
UAUUCUGUUCAUUCUUUUGAUACUAUAUGUGAAAUUUGGCGAUUGCCUUCUUUUGUGGCACGCUGGUCCAGAAUCAAUAGCUCACCAAAUUUGUUAAAGGUAUGAGAUGGUCUGUUAUGGCAUAAAUAAUAAAAUAGUAAACUAGACUAGAAUUUUCCAUGUUCUUCUUGAAGUUCUUUUUUUUCCUGAUGUUCUUCUAGGAGUUUGAUGAGAAUUUCUUUCACAACCUCUUUUUACAUUGUGGAGGCAUAUAUGAUUUUGGUUAUUUUGGACAGAGAUUCUGUUUCUACAUAUGUAGGCUGUGUUAAGAUGAUCUUUCUCAUCAAGUUUCUUUAGAUGAAUUGGUCCUUUUUGUUUUCUUUCAUUUGCUCGUUUAAUUGAGUGAAUUUCUGCGCUUCUCUACCUGUGGUACCACUCUAUGAUUGUUUAUUAUUUGAGUCUGCAUGAAUAUAACUUUUGGAAUUCUAGCUCCAUGUAUUGACCUUCAUGUUGUUAUGAUUGACUGAUUUCCAUCUAAUGCAUACAGGAACAGCUGGAGAUUUAAUGUAGUUUCUUCUCCAAGAACUAGUGCCAAUAAUGUUGGCUCUAAAUAUCAGGAUUACUUGAAAUUAUUUGAGGUUCCUUUCACUCUGGAGGGUUCUAGUCGUUCUUUUUGUGGUUUCUAGUUUGAACAUCAAGAUUAUGGGGGCCAUCUGUUGUGUGGCUGCUCCAAGGAAGAAACCUUUGUUUUCCUAUUACAAGAUGAGCGGCAGUCAUUCUGCUCAUAAGAAUGCUGGAUGCUCCUCUAGAUGGAGCUUUCUACGUGGCAACCGAACUCAUACAAUGGAUGUUUUCGACAACCAUUCUGAGUUUU